rnacentral:rRNA from 1 species
GACGAACGCUGGCGGCAUGCCUAAUACAUGCAAGUCGAGCGAACAGAUGAAGUGCUUGCACUUCUGACGUUAGCGGCGAACGGGUGAGUAACACGUAAGGAAUCUACCUAUAAGCGGGGGAUAACAUUCGGAAACGGGUGCUAAUACCGCAUAAUAUCUUCUUCCGCAUGGAAGAAGAUUGAAAGACGGCUCUGCUGUCACUUAUAGAUGACCUUGCGGUGCAUUAGUUAGUUGGUGGGGUAAUGGCCUACCAAGACGAUGAUGCAUAGCCGACCUGGGAGGGUGAUCGGCCACAGUGGAACUGAGACACGGGCCAGACUCCUACGGGAGGCAGCAGGGGGGAAGCUGGCGCAAUGGGCGAAAGCCUGACGCAGCGACGCCGCGUGGGUGAUGAAGGCCUUCGGGUCGUAAAGCUCUGUGGGGAGAGACGAAUAAAGCAGGAAUAACACUCCUGACGAUGACGGUAUCUCCUUAGCAAGCACCGGCUAACUCUGUGCCAGCCGCCGCAGUAA